AUUGAACGCUGGCGGCAUGCCUAACACAUGCAAGUCGAACGGCAGCAUGAAUAUGGGUAACCAUAUUUGAUGGCGAGUGGCGGACGGGUGAGUAAUAUGUAGGAAUCUACCUAGAGGAGGGGGAUAACUUGGGGAAACCCAAGCUAAUACCACAUAAGCCCUACGGGGGAAAGCAGGGGACCGCAAGGCCUUGCGCCUUAUGAUGAGCCUACAUCGGAUUAGCUAGUUGGUGGGGUAAAGGCCUACCAAGGCGACGAUCCGUAGCUGGUCUGGGAGGAUGACCAGCCACACUGGGACUGAGACACGGCCCAGACUCCUACGGGAGGCAGCAGUGGGGAAUAUUGGACAAUGGGCGAAAGCCUGAUCCAGCAAUGCCGCGUGUGUGAAGAAGGCCUUAGGGUUGUAAAGCACUUUCAGUGGGGAGGAAGGGAUUGAUGCUAAUAUCAUCAGUCAUUGACGUUACCCACAGAAGAAGCACCGGCUAACUCUGUGCCAGCCGCCGCGGUAA
rnacentral:rRNA from 1 species